UGCCCACCUGCCACCGCACCACUGUUAGAUCCGGCAUUGUCCACCACCGCACCACUGUUAGAUCCGGCACCUCCCACCAUCGCACCAGCUCUUCAGAUCCAGAUGGGUUAGCCACCACCCUUUGAGCCACACUUGUUCUCCUCGAACCCACUUCAUUUAUAGAAAGCCCCUUUUUGUUUGAUGAAUCUUGUGUUCUUGUAGCUUCCAAGAAACCCACAUGGUUGCACACUUCAGAGUUAGGGGAAACCACCCAAAUCAUGGCUGCAGACAUGGGUUUUAAAUGGGGUUUCAAAUGGGUCAAAAUUGAUGAAAUGGGUGAAAAAGAUGUGACCUUGAAACACACCCAGUAAAGAGGGGUGUGUAAUAGGGGUUUUGGAGGAAUACCCACUUCACAAUCAGUAAAAAGAUUGUGAAUUUGGUAAAAAUGGGUUGAAUUUGUUUGGAAUCUGAAGUGGUAUUGGAGGUUUUUAUGGGAUGAAAAUGGAGGGUUCUUGAUGAAUGAAGAAGAGAGUAGAAGAAUCGAUGGCAGAAUGAAGAUUAUAUGAAGGGGUGUGUGUGAAUAAAAUAUGAUGGUGAAAGAUGAGCUGCAUUCUAGUUACGGGGAGAAGUGAUGAGAGAGAGAAGAGAGAGGGAGAU
rnacentral:lncRNA from 1 species